rnacentral:rRNA from 1 species
GACGAACGCUGGCGGCGUGCUUAACACAUGCAAGUCGAACGGAAAGGCCCUGCUUUUGUGGGGUGCUCGAGUGGCGAACGGGUGAGUAACACGUGAGUAACCUGCCCUUGACUUUGGGAUAACUUCAGGAAACUGGGGCUAAUACCGGAUAGGAGCUCCUGCUGCAUGGUGGGGGUUGGAAAGUUUCGGCGGUUGGGGAUGGACUCGCGGCUUAUCAGCUUGUUGGUGGGGUAGUGGCUUACCAAGGCUUUGACGGGUAGCCGGCCUGAGAGGGUGACCGGCCACAUUGGGACUGAGAUACGGCCCAGGCUCCUACGGGAGGCAGCAGUGGGGAAUAUUGCACAAGGGGCGGAAGCCUGAUGCAGCAACGCCGCGUGCGGGAGGACGGCCUUCGGGUUGUAAACCGCUUUCGCCUGUGACGAAGCGUGAGUGACGGUAAUGGGUAAAGAAGCACCGGCUAACUACGU